rnacentral:rRNA from 1 species
CCGAGUUUACAACUCCCAAACCCAAUGUGAACCAUACCAAACUGUUGCCUCGGCGGGGUCACGCCCCGGGUGCGUCGCAGCCCCGGAACCAGGCGCCCGCCGGAGGGACCAACCAAACUCUUUUCUGUAGUCCCCUCGCGGACGUUAUUUCUUACAGCUCUGAGCAAAAAUUCAAAAUGAAUCAAAACUUUCAACAACGGAUCUCUUGGUUCUGGCAUCGAUGAAGAACGCAGCGAAAUGCGAUAAGUAAUGUGAAUUGCAGAAUUCAGUGAAUCAUCGAAUCUUUGAACGCACAUUGCGCCCGCCAGUAUUCUGGCGGGCAUGCCUGUCCGAGCGUCAUUUCAACCCUCGAACCCCUCCGGGGGGUCGGCGUUGGGGACCUCGGGAGCCCCUAAGACGGGAUCCCGGCCCCGAAAUACAGUGGCGGUCUCGCCGCAGCCUCUCCUGCGCAGUAGUUUGCACAACUCGCACCGGGAGCGCGGCGCGUCCACGUCCGUAAAACACCCAACUUCUGAAAUGUUGACCUCGGAUCAGGUAGGAAUACCCGCUGAACUUAAGCAUAUCAA